AGUAGCAGAUGUUGUUGGCUGCCUACCCAACAGCCAUCCCCUUCCCCAGUCCAUGCCUCUACACCCUUUCUUUCUGAACAGAACUCCCAUUCUGUUCAGGAAACAAGGACUGUGUGUUCCACAGCAGCCUGAGCCCCAGUCCUAGCCCCGGCCCCAGGACGGAAUCUUGAUUGGCAAGGCAAGAGCCAGUGCAGCCUCUGGCAUCUGAGGCAGAUCCCAACAGAGGAUACCAGUGGCUGGAGACGUCUGCCUGGUCCCUGUAGGGUUCCAGCCUUUAGUUUGGCCUCAUGUCUGCUCUACUGCUCACUGUGGCUGGCUCUGAGAGGUAGGAUUCAAGCCCAGGAGCUGACUCUUGUGCCUAUCAUAUGUAUUAAGUUUGACUACAAAUAACAGAAAACCCAAAAUAGUUACUCAACUGAGCUGGAAAUUUACUGACCCUUGGUACAAGAGAGAUGGAGGGAAGCAGUUCAGGGCUUCUGUGGGAGCUUCACAGUCCCCAGGACCAGCCAUCCCCGAGCUGCCACCUGCAGCACAAUUUCCACCUCCUGGACCAAGACAGCUGCCAUGCUCCAGCCAUCUCAUCUACUUCAAGCCAGCAAAAAAGGAGAAAUGAAGGAAAGAAGGGCAUGUCGCCUGCCUUAAGGUGACUUAUUGAAAGUUGUACACUAUGCUUCCCUUACAUCCUUUAGGCCAGAACUUGUCACAAGGCCACAUCCAGUUAUGGGAGAAGCUAGAAGAUGUCAUUUUUAUUCCAACGGGCUAUGUGAAAAGGAGAGUGAAAUUGGGAAACCCCUAGUGGUCUCUGCCACAUCAUAGCCUUAACCAACGUGCUGGCUUAGGACACUAAAUUGCUGAAGAUAUUGGUUUUUAAUUUUUUUUUAUUUUAUUUAUUUAUUUAUUUGAGAUGGAGUUUCAUGCUCAUCGUCCAGGCUGGAGUGCAAUGGUGCGAUCUUGGCUCACU